GCCAGGUGCGGUGGCCCACACCUGUAAUCCCAGCUGCUCAGGAGGCUGAGGCAGGAGGAUCGAAAGUUCAAAGACAGCCUCAGCAACUUAGUGAGGCACUAAGCCACUCAGCAAGACCCGGUCUCUA
rnacentral:sRNA from 1 species